rnacentral:rRNA from 1 species
UGGCAAACGGGCUAGUACACGUGGGAAUCUACCCCAAAGUAGGGAUACCCGGAGAAAUCCGGGAGUGUACCUAAUGUGCUCUUCGGAGUAAAGAUUUAUCGCUUUGGGAGGAGCCCGCGCACUAUCAGCUUGUUGGUGAGGUAAUAGCUCACCAAGGCUAUGACGGUUAGGGGGUGUGAGAGCAUGACCCCCAGCAUUGGCACUGAGACACUGGCCAAACACCUACGGGUGGCUGCAGUCGAGAAUCUUUCACAAUGGGCGAAAGCCUGAUGAAGCGACGCUGCGUGCAGGAUGAAGGCCUUCGGGUUGUAAACUGCUUUUAUAGGGGAUGAAUCUUUGAUGACAGUACCCUAAGAAUAAGAGGUUGCUAACUCUGUGCCAGCAGCAGCGGUAAUACAGAGACCUCAAGCGUUAUCCGGAUUUACUGGGCGUACAGCGUCUGUAGGGGGUUUGUCAAGUUCCAAGUAAAAUCUUAAGGCCCACCUUUACGUUCGCUUGGAAAACUGAUAAACUGGAG